rnacentral:lncRNA from 1 species
AAUGCACAGUCAUUUUACAUCUUUUGCCCUAAACAGUAGAUAACGAUAUCCUUAUCAGUUCAAGUCUCUAACCCUGACAAUAAAUUAUAGAUACGUUCUGCUUUAUCCAUUGCACUGAAUGUGAUCUUAAAAGGCUAUAAGAUAAAUUAAAUUAUUGUAAAUUAACUUAUUCCAAAAUUAUUACAGGGGUGAGCCACUGCGCCUGGCUGAAUAUGCAUUCUACUAAUACUGUGUGUCUUUGAGAAGAUUGCAUUUUCCAUGUUCUUUUUAUAAUAUGAUGCUGACACUUCUCUAACAUAAGCUAAUACCUAUGGCCACAGCUUUGAAUCUGGGCAUGUCAGUGACUAUAGCAGAAGUAAUGCUAAGACACUUCUGAUGCUAAGUUGCAAAAGGUGUUAGAGCUUCUGCCUGGGUUUGUCACUCUACUUCUUUAGCUGACAUGGAGUGGAGCAGAGAUGAGGUAACUUCACUGAGCCUCACCCAGAUUGCAGACUAAUAAUCAGAAUAAGUAUAAUUGUUUCAAGCCACUAAGACUUUGAGGUUGUUUGUUAUAUACCGAUAAAUAUCCAGAACCAUCUGCUGUCUCACUUAACCUCCAUAACAUUUGAUGUUAUGGAGCCACGCUGGGCUUUCUUUGUUUGCAUGCCUCUUCAAAUUUACCAUUUCCUCUACCCGGAAUGGUCUUCAACCCUUUCUGUUUGCCUCCCUAACUCCUCUUUAUCCUUCAAAACUCAACUUAGGUGAAGGAAAGGCCUUUCAUGAGCACCUCUCCCACAGACUAGAUAGGAUUACUGAUAAUAUGCACAUUACUUUCCAUUGCACUUAGCUACAUACACAGUAAUAAUUUAGCCCUGUUUCCCUCACUGAGAUGCAAGCUCCACAAUGGCAGGAAGCAUACCUCUCUUUUUCAGUGUGGAAUCCCCAGUGCUCAGCACAGUGCCAGACACAUGAUAGUUGCUCAGAAUAUUUAUUGAACAAAUGAAGUGGGUACUAUUAUUAUCCCUAUUUUACAAUAAGAAAACAGAUUUUUAAAAAAAAAUUAUAUAACACUUCCAGAGUCAUGAGUAAGCAAAUGGGGGCACAAAUAUAAGUGACUUCAAAGCUCACACCAUAUAUAUAUGUGUGUGUGUGUGUGUGUGUGUGUGUGUUAUGGUUUGGCUUUGUGUCCCCAGCCAAAUCUUAUGUUGAAUUGUAAUCCCCAAUGUUAGAGGUGGGGCCUAACGGGAGGUGAUUGGAUCAUGGGGGUCGUUUCUAAUGGUUUACCACCAUCUCCCUAGUGCUGUCUUGUGAUAGAAUUUUCAAGAAAUCUGGUUGUUUAAAAGUGUGUAACGCCUCCCUCUUUGCUCUCUUUCUCCUACUCCUGCCAUGUAAGACAUGUCUGCUUCCUCUUUGCCUUCCACUACGAUUGUAAAUUUCCUGAAGCCUCCCCAGCCAUGCUUCUUGUGCAGCCUGUAGAAAUGCAAGUGAAUUAAACCUCUUUUCUUUACAAAUUACCCAGUCCCAGGUAGUUCUUUAUAGCAAUGUGAGUACUAAUACUAAAUAU